CCAGCAGCUGCGGUAAUUCCAGCUCCAAUAGCGUAUACUAAAGUUGUUGCAGUUAAAAAGCUCGUAGUUGAAUUUCUGGUCGUGGCGACCGGUCCGUCCCUCGCGGGAUGUGCACCUGGUCUCUGCGUCCAUCCUCGGGGAGAGCACGUCUGGCAUUCAGUUGUCGGGCGUGGGAUCCUCGUCAUUUACUGUGAGCAAAAUAGAGUGUUCAAAGCAGGCUUAGGCCGUUGAAUACAUUAGCAUGGAAUAAUAAGAUAGGACUUUGGUACUAUUUUGUUGGUUUGUGCACCAGAGUAAUGAUUAAUAGGGACAGUUGGGGCUAUUCGUAUUCCAUUGUCAGAGGUGAAAUUCUUGGAUUUCUGGAAGACGAACUACUGCGAAAGCAUUUAGCAAGGAUGUUUUCAUUAAUCAAGAUCGAAAGU
rnacentral:rRNA from 1 species